UUUAGAGUUUGAAUCCUGGCUCAGGACGAACGCUGGCGGCGUGCUUAACACAUGCAAGUCGAACGGAAAGGUCUCUUCGGAGAUACUCGAGUGGCGAACGGGUGAGUAACACGUGGGUGAUCUGCCCUGCACUUCGGGAUAAGCCUGGGAAACUGGGUCUAAUACCGGAUAGGACCACGGGAUGCAUGUCUUGUGGUGGAAAGCGCUUUAGCGGUGUGGGAUGAGCCCGCGGCCUAUCAGCUUGUUGGUGGGGUGACGGCCUACCAAGGCGACGACGGGUAGCCGGCCUGAGAGGGUGUCCGGCCACACUGGGACUGAGAUACGGCCCAGACUCCUACGGGAGGCAGCAGUGGGGAAUAUUGCACAAUGGGCGCAAGCCUGAUGCAGCGACGCCGCGUGGGGGAUGACGGCCUUCGGGUUGUAAACCUCUUUCACCAUCGACGAAGGUCCGGGUUCUCUCGGAUUGACGGUAGGUGGAGAAGAAGCACCGGCCAACUACGUGCCAGCAGCCCGCGGUAAA
rnacentral:rRNA from 1 species